rnacentral:lncRNA from 1 species
GGGUGAGUAGGAUGUUGUCAAUGAUGUGACGACCACUGAGAAAAGUGCUCUACUCUUGGUUGUGAAAUAAUCGACUUCAGACGUCCAAUCAGGAUCCUCGAUGCACUUUAUAGAGAGUGUUGCAAAGACUAAUCGGUCUGAAAUACCUUAGGAUCGACACGUUAGGUUUUUUCUAGAUGAUGGUGAUCAGCAUCCUCUUCCACUACUCCAAAAUGCCUCUGGCUGCAAACACCAUCCGCACAGUCUCAGUCAUCUCUCUACCAA